rnacentral:rRNA from 1 species
GACGAACGCUGGCGGCGUGCCUAAUACAUGCAAGUCGAACGCAGUGGGGACGGGUGAGUAACACGUGGGUAACCUCCCAUCCUCGGGGAUAACCCUUGGCAACAGGUGCUAAAACGAUACUGAUGUAUGGUCCCGCUGUGCAUUAGCUAGUGGGUGAGGUAACGGCGCACCAAGGCCACGAUGCAUAGCCGAGCUGAGAGGGUGAUAGGCCACACUGGGACUGAGACACGGCCCAGACUCCUACGGGAGGCAGCAGUAGGGAAUCUUCGGCAAUGGACGAAAGUCUGACCGAGCAACGCCGCGUGAGUGAAGAAGGUUUUCGGAUCGUAAAACUCUGUUGUUAGAGAAGCGGUAUCUAAACAGAAAGCAACGGCUAACUACGUGCCAGCAGCCGCGGUAAUUC